GACGAACGCUGGCGGCGUGCCUAAUACAUGCAAGUCGAACGCAGUGGGGACGGGUGAGUAACACGUGGGUAACCUCCCAUCAGAGGGGAUAACACUUGGAAACAGGUGCUAAAACGAUACUGAUGGAUGUACCCGCGGUGCAUUAGCUAGUUGGUGAGGGAACGGCUCACCAAGGCCACGAUGCAUAGCCGGCCUGCGAGGGUGAUCGGCAACACGGGAACGGAGACACGGCCCAGACUCCUACGGGAGGCAGCAGUAGGGAAUCUGCGGCAAUGGACGAAAGUCUGACCGAGCAACGCCGCGUGGGUGAAGAAGGUUUUCGGGUCGUAAAACUCUGUUGUUAGAGAGGCGGUAUCUAACCAAGAAGCCACGGCUAACUACGUGCCAGCAGCCGCGGUAAUUC
rnacentral:rRNA from 1 species